GCCGAGAUGGCGAAAUCGGUAGACGCAGCGGACUCAAAAUCCGCCGCCGCAAGGCAUGGGGGUUCGAUUCCCCCUCUCGGCA
rnacentral:tRNA from 1 species